AUUGAAUGGUUUUUAAAAGAUAUAUAAAUACUGUUUUUAAUAGCAAAACAAAAAAUGUUAUACGAAAUGCCUAAUAUUGGAAUGCUUAAUAUCGGAAUAAUUAUACUUUUGGUUGUUAAAGGAGGGCUAGGACUUCAAUGUUAUUAUAAGCCUCUCCAUAACGUAACGCAAAAAGUAGAGCCGAUUAUUCAAAACUGUUCCGUAGUUGAAAAUAGUUGUUUAACUGUUAACUUAGGCAUCAAUGGAAUCAUACAGAAAACGGAAUCAAAAUGCACUAUAGAUAGCUUGUUUUUUCAAUGCUCUAAGCAAUGCAUUUUAUUUUAUACAAGCUAUACUCUUUGUCAGAUAACGUGCUGUGAUAGCGAUUUAUGCAAUUCUAAUUCAAUUGACGAAAGUACGAAUAACAAGGCUACGAGCAUUAGCAACAUUUCAAGCCUCAUAAUGGUUCUCAUUGGAUUAUUUAACAUUAUAAUAUUUAUUUGUAAUUGUUGAUAUGACUUAAAAAAGUAUUUUGAUUUUAAAAUUAAUUUAA